AACGAACGCUGGCGGCAGGCUUAACACAUGCAAGUCGAACGAGAUCUUCGGAUCUAGUGGCAGACGGGUGAGGAACACGUGGGAACAUCCCUUUCAGUUCGGAAUAACGUUGGGAAACUAACGCUAAUACCGGAUACGUCCUUCGGGAGAAAGAUUUAUCGCUGAAAGAUUGGCCCGCGUCUGAUUAGCUAGUUGGUGAGGUAAUGGCUCACCAAGGCUACGAGCAGUAGCUGAUCUGAGAGAAUGAUCAGCCACAUUGGGACUGAGACACGGCCCAAACUCCUACGGGAGGCAGCAGUGGGGAAUAUUGGACAAUGGGCGCAAGCCUGAUCCAGCCAUGCCGCGUGAGUGAUGACGGCCUUCGGGUUGUAAAGCUCUUUUGUCCGGGAAGAUAAUGACUGUACCGGAAGAAUAAGCCCCGGCAAACUUCGUGCCAGCCGCCGCAGUAA
rnacentral:rRNA from 1 species